ACUCGAAUUGCUUCAACUGGCGGGAAGGGGCUCUUAAUGGGAACUACCUUAAACGAAAGCUUCAGGAUGCAGCAGAACAACUAAAACAGUAUGAAAUAAACGCCACUCCUAAAGGCUGGUCCUGCCACUGGGACAGGUACGCACUCUUCUCCCCCUUUCACCUUUCACCUUUGACACCUCAGACUCUUUUGUGAUCACCGCCACAUGACGCCACGGCGGCCCGGCCCGUGUGGAGACUGUCGCUGCUGCGCUUAGCGGCCCGGGCCGGCCGCACAGCGGAGAAACAAACCAGUGUUUGCAGUGUGCCAUGUAACGGAUUUUUCCCAAGAUCGGACCAAGCCAGUGUUUCCUCUCCAGAGUGCACGGAGUAGGGGCGGGCUUGGGGGUUAAGCGCAUGCGAGAGCUCUGUGCGCUUUACAGGACCUCUGGAAGCACCUACUCCUGAUUAACCUCGGCGAAGUUAAGGGAAGCUUCGUGGCUGAAGAGUGAACGAAGAACAAGAUUACUAUCCUCUGCCAGCAGGGAUCAUAGACGGUAUUUCUAUGUAAACGAGCAGUCGGGCGAGUCUCAGUGGGAGUUCCCAGAUGGUGAGGAGGAGGAGGAGGAAGGCCAUGCACCAGAGAGUAGAGAUGAGACUCUUCCCAAAUCCACCUUGAAGGACAAACCUGGCGCUGAAUCAAAUGCCACAGAGUCCUCUGAGAACCCCACAGGUGAGAUGGUUUACCCUGCCUGGUUGGACUGCACUGAUUUUAGAAAACAAGUCAGGAAUUUAUCAGAAAAGAAAAGCAUUUAUGACAUAAGCUAAAUUUUAGAGUGACUUGAACUAAAUGUAUGAGUUAUACUAAAAUGAAGGCAGUGACUGGUUUGGAAAUCAGCAUAACAUGGAUCAGACUGUGCCCCCGAAUGAGAAGAGGGACCAGGACCACUGUGUGUCUGCCGGGCAUCAUGGGCCACGCCUGUCCUUGCAGCGUUCUGGAGGCUGGCAGGUCGUAGCCCAGCUCGGGCAGUUAGUGACUUAGUGACACCUUGAUGGUGCUUAGUCUCUCGGUGUUGCCACCACAUUUGCCACUUCCACUGCUCUUUAAAGCGUCUUUGGUACAAAUCAGAGUGACAGGAGGAAAUGCCAUGAACUGGUACCAUACUCUUUUCAGAAGAGCUAGAUGGAGCCAGGGAUGUAGCUCAGUGGCACCUCACCUGCCUGGCAAGCGCAAGGUCCUGAGUUCGAUCCCCAGGAUGGGCGAUGGGGGACCUAGAUAAUUGAUCCUUGAAAAAAUUGUCAGCAUCAUUCGUCCGUCACUUUCCUAAUUGCUGGGAAAAAUUACCUGACACCCAUGGUUUAGAGGAAGAGAGGUUUCUUUUGGCUCCAAGGCAAGGGGCCUGGUAGAAAGGCCUGGGUAGAGGGAAGCUGAGAACAGAGGCACCCAGGAGGGAGAUGAACACUUCUGGUCACACCCGGAAGUGACCAGACCCUCCUCCCAAGACCCAGUCGGUGAUAGCACCCCUCAGAGCAUUCCCAUCCAGAGCCCUGCCUGUGAGCAGCAGAGGCAAGGCGUGGGGAGCGCUCUCGGUCCAAAGCAUCACAGCAAUACAGCAUGCAGCACUCAGACCCAGGACUCACCCCAUUUAACAAGGGGGCUUUCAUAGCCCCUUAGUUACUGUGAGGAUCCAGUUAGCUCUUCAGAAGAGCCACAACUUGAUUGCCACUUCAUAAAAGAAACUACAUUUCCCCCCAUUCCAUUUCACUUGGAAUGGUAAAUAAAGAAAAUGGUAAAGCAUAGACUAUGACUUAACAACCUUUUGAUCUUAAAACACAUUAGCUGGUUGUUAAAGUUGCAAAGGCAAGAGUCUUCUCCCUGUCAGAAACAGUGGUCUGCUGGCUGCUGGCUGCUGGCUGCUGGCUGCUGGGUCCCGGUAGCAGUGUCCUGGUGAUGCACAGAUGAUGCCCUCUGGUCCCUGAGGACCGCAGGUCUUAGGCAGCCCGGACGCCACAAUCAGCUCCCCUGAAGGCCGCAGUGACAGUUUCGGGAACAGCGAAGGGCGGCUUGCGUCUACUCACAUCUCCGCAGUGCCUGGCGUUCCUCUUGUGCACGUGGCCCUCCUUGGGUGCUGUGGUGGCCUUGCCUGCGGAUCUCUGUAGUGCAGAUGGCGCACUCCUGACUGCAACUGCGCCGCCUGUGCUGGGAGUCAGGGCCUCUGCAGUUGCUCAGCUGGAGAGGGCGCCUGGGAGCUGAGUAGCCAAGGAGCCUGCAGAGCCGCUGUCCAUGCCGCAAGGGCGGUGCUGCCCAGUGCAAGAUCAGAGUCGCGCUUAGCUGAUUAAAACAGAAUAAACUGCUGCAGAGAAAAAAAAAAACAUUGACAAACUGACAUUUAUUUUCAAGCCUCUCUAGUGAGCAUACCUAGAACAUGAUAAGCUUUGUCUAAAUAAAAUGCAAAUCAGCCGGGCAUGGUCACACAUGUCUGUAACCCAGCACUCUGGGACGCUGAGGCAGGAAGGUUGGCAAGUUCAAACUCAGACUAGGAAACUUAGCAAGACACUGUCUCAAAAUAAAAUAUGAGGGCGGGGAUUUAGUUCAGUGGUGCUGCCGCCUGCCUUGCAAGUGCAGGGUCCUGAGUUUGAUCCCCUACCAAAAAAAUAAAUAAAUAAAACUUUAAAACCCGAAAAGGUCUGAAGGUGUAGCUCAGUGUAAAGGCCUUGUGUUCAGUACCCAGACCACACACACACACACACACACACACACACACACACACACACACACACACACACACACACACACACGGUAAAGCCAGGUGUGGUGGUGCACUCCUGUAGUCCUGGUGCCUGAGAGGCUGGGGGCGGGGCUCACAAGUUUGAGGUCAGCCUGAAUUAUAGACUCAGAGUCUGUCUCCGAAAAGUGAAUUUGUUUAUUUAUAUAUUUGUAAUUAGAGAAUACUUCAUUAGUUUCUGUAAUCAAACCCAUGUAGGUAAAAUGUUAUAUGUUUAAUACAGCAUAUAACUCCCUAUACAAUAGAAAAAAAUUAUCUAGUGUUUCCAGACCAGUAUUGUUGUUAAUCUUGUUCAGUGCCGUUCUAAGUACUAGCACAGCUAGUUUCCAAAACUUCAGAUUUUAUAUAUAACAGUAAUUACGGUAUCAAAUUUUAAGAAUAAAAAUAUUGCAAUUUCUGGAGUUGUAGCUUAGCACAGUCCCUGGGGUCACUCCCCAGUACUUCAAAACAAAAUGAAGAAAGAAAGAUAAAGAACAGUGGGCUAGAAUAUGUAUGAGCCCAUGGCUGCAUCCCCAGCGUGGGGCGGCGAACCUUGUAGAGACUUCAGUGACACAAGCAGCCUGCUGUGGCACACGCGCCUGAGGUUCACCACCGCUGGCCUAGCAGCUCAGAAGCAAAAGAGAAGAGUGACUGCACUAGGAGGCACCAGGGGAGUGUGGAGUUGGCUUUCUCUUUUGUGGUUUGGUCCUGGGACGGAAGCUGGAGCCUCGCAUGUGCCCUCGAAGGCUCUGCCUGCCACGCUGCAGGACACACCCACACUUGCACGGCCCUUCUCCACGCAAGCCCUCAAUGGGUGGCACCUGGGUGUGCGGCAAGCGAUCUCUUUGCUGCCUCACAUGUCAUUCAGGUUGCACCAAGCUGCCUUUUGUAACCUCCAUGGAAACUGGCCUUUGAUUCAAAAUAGCAGUCAUUUAUUUCUCUGGGGGUAAAUAAGAGAGGCUGCUUAUAAAUAUAAAUUUAAGGCUGGGGAUUUAGUUCAGUGGUUCUGCCGCCUGCUUCACAAGCACAAGGACCCGAGUUUACGAUCCCCAGUACCCAAAAAAUAAAUAAACAAAUAUAAAUUUAUUUUAAUCUCUGGACUUCAGAAUUAAAUAUUUUCUUCCAUGAGAGAAAUGCUAACUAGAUUAAGCGUAGAAACAAGGAGAACUGUCAUGUUAGCAGAUGUUGGUGGUAUACAAGUCAGGGUUUCCUGGUUUGUCUGUAUUUACUCAAAGGAAGUAAUUACCAGUGUUCAGGAUGCAGCUUUUAUGUUUUGAGUGAACGUAGUUUGAGAUUCAAACAUUGUAAGAAUGCUCGUUGGUGACUAAAUUUGUCAAGUGCGGUUUACUAUUCACACAAGCUUUAGUUCAUUCCGAUGAGCAUGAUGGGAAGGCACGGAGCAUGUUAAAUUGACCUUGGCCUGCCGUGCAUCCUGGGCCCCUCCACCCUGCAGCCUGUUACCCCAGCAACGUCACCAGUAUCGCCCGGCGCUGCUGGGUGAGGAGCCUGCUGUUAACAGCUCCACUCCACAUGUUGUGGCUAGUUUGGUAGAAGGAAGUUUAAUUUUUAGUUAAUAAUUAAUCUCCAAUGUUUAUUACCUUAGUUCUGAUGUGAUUAUUUUAUUUUGAGACAGGGCCUGGCUUUGUAGUUCAGGCUGCCCUGGAACUCGCCACCAUGCCCAGCUAAUUCUGUUGUAAUCUUGAUGUGCUGUGAUCUAAUUUAGGCUUCCUGGCCAUACCCAGGCUUUGUCUGUAAGUUCACACAUCAGUUAAUAUCACAUAAUACCAAAUACAAAAAUGUAGUGAGUCAUUUGAUUUCUUUUAGCUGGAAAACUGCAUUUAUGUUUUCCUAGUACCUAAGUUUUUCAGUGGCAUUUUCAUAGCAGUACAAGAAUGUCUCCUCAUAUAAAAACAAUGUAAACCGUAUUAAGGUCUUUUUUACACUGUGUAUCAUGUAUCUGUUCCAUAAAAGCAGAGCUACUCUAAAUGCCAAAUACCUUCUGAUUGCUUGGGUUUUGCCUUGUCAGACACUGCCAGUGCAGUAUUUUGGGGUUUUUUGAGGCAGGGUCCCUGUGUGACCUACACUGGCCUUGAAAUUUGCCAUCCUCCUGCUUCAGCCUCCUGAGUGCUGGAGUUACAACCAUGCACCACCACACCAGCUCUGUGCCACUUUAGACCAUGAAACUUGACAGGUAACGUAUCUGGAGUCCAUGAAAAGUGAGAUUUAUCUUGAGAUUUCUAAAUCUCUUGGACUCGUGAUAUUUCAGCAGGCCGUCUUGGUGAGGUAGGAAGUACUCAGGGGAAUCAGACUGGGCUCCGGCGUGGCCCUGGCACUGUAGCCAGGUGGUGUUGGGAAUCAGUACCUGCCUGGGUUUCAUUACCUUUAAAGCAAGAGGGUGAAUUAGAUGAUUUCUCAUGUCUCUUCUACUCCUAAAUUCUGUGAUUUUAGGGAGAAAAUCCCUCAGCACUCCUGGGAUGUAGAUCUAAUAGUCCCAUAUAUUGUGGCACUUCCCUCCUGGCGCUAAGGAGGGAUGGGGAAGGCUCCAAGUAAGUAUAUCCUCCCCCCUCCUCUCCCUUCACCUUCCCCUGCAGAGCAGCGGCAGGAGUCCUGGUGGCCGUCUCCAGAUUGGAGAAAGGCUGGUGCUGCCGCUUUUCAGAUGCAGUCUCUUGACUCAGACUUGAGCAACAGCAGUCUUAGAUCCUCUGCAUCCUGAAACACUGUUUUUGGAAAUCUGAGUUUUCAUUUACCUGGGGGAUGUGCCCUCCUAAAUUUCCCCUUUGGCAUUGCAGAGCUAAGUGUGGCCCUCGCCUCACCUGGUUGCUGAUUUACAGGUGCAGGUGACUCAGACACAGGAAGGAUGCAGUCGGUGGUGGGUUUUACUCUAGCUGCUCAGCAGGCGGGGGCGGGCAUGCGGGGAGCGGUGCCCGGUGUCCAGUGUCUCCGCACACUCGCUCAGAAGUAAAGGGUGGAGCCAGGGUCACAAGUGUGCACUUGGAAGCAAGAGGACCCUAGCCUAGUGUAUCUCGGUCGAAACUGAACAUCAGAAAUGGAAGAUUCUCAACUCCAGACUGAGGCCCGAGGGUCUCUGGGUCACAGGGAGCGAGGUGUGUGAGCCAGCCGGGGACGUGCUCGCCCCAGGCUGGUCCCUGCCCCUUGGCAUGGAGGCCCCUGGGAGCCGAGCUGCGUCCUGGGUCCUGUCCCCACUUCUGACCCGCCUUGUGUGCUCGCUGGCCCGGCCUGGCCUGAUGGCCGCGUCCCUCCAGCCCGCCUUGGUUCCCUGUGGCGCUGCUUCCCUAACACCUCUCUGUUUCCGUAGGUUCCCUUUGUAAAGAAUCCUUUUCUGCUCCAGCAUCGUCUGCGUCACUCAUGCCGCUCACUCCCUUCUGGACCCUGCUGCAGUCCAGUGUGCCUGUGCUGCAGCCACCCCUGCCGCUGGAGAUGCCCCCGCCGCCGCCGCCUCCAGAGUCCCGCCCCGCCCCCGCCCCCACCCCCCCCCGGCCGAGGACGGCGAGAUCCAGGAGGUGGAGAUGGAGGACGAGGGCAGCGAGGAGCCUCCCGCGCCCGGGACAGAGGAGGACCCACCUCUGAAGCCGGCAGCACAGGCCGCCGUUGUCACCAGCCAGAGCACUGUGGAUGCCGCCAUGUCCAGCCCUCCUUCCACUAAGGCGGUGAAGAGAAAGGCGGCGGAAAUGAGCAGCGCAGUGGUUCAGCGGUCGGCCACCAUCGGGAGCUCCCGGUCAUCUACAGCCAGCCGCCCGUGGCCACAGGUCUCCAGGCCACAGGGAUUGGACACCAGCCCGUGUCCCUGAGCCACAUGGCCACAGGCAUGGGUCACCAGGCCCGAGGGUUGAGCCUGCAGUCCAGCUACCUGGGCCUCACGCCGGCCAUCGUGAGUUACACCGAGUGCUCUGUCCCCAUGGGAGUGACCACGGCCUCCCUGCAGCCAGUCCAGGCGCGCCCGGCAGCCGCUGCCAUAGAGCCACCACCUCCACCACCGCCGCCUCCUUCUACGCUGCCACCACCACCAGCUCCCAAGCGCCACCCCGGAGAAGACAAAGAAAGGAAAGAAAGAUAAGAUAGGUUAGAAAAUGAGGUGAAACCAAGGAAGAGUGACAAGUUACACCAGUGUCCUGGCGCUGACCGGCAUCAAGCUGCCGCGGGGGCCAGGCGAAGAAGAGUAAAACCAAAAUGCCAUCUUUGGUAAAGAAGUGGCAGAGUAUCCAGCGAGUUAGAUGAGGAGGAAAACUCAAGUUCCAGCGAGGAGGACCGGGAAUCCACAGCCCAGAAGCGCAUUGAGGAGUGGAAGCAGCAGCAGCUGGUCAGUGGCAUGGCAGAGAGAAAUGCUAAUUUUGAAGCCCUUCCUGAGGACUGGCGAGCAAGACUAAAGAGAAGGAAAAUGGCUCCAAACACAUAGUUUAAAUUUUUUUAAAAAAUUUUGUUUUGUUUUGUGUUGGUUCAGAGUCCUAACCAGUCUUACUGUUGUCCAGUAAACUAAAUGUUAUGGGGAACGUGCGCGCUUGCUGGUGAAGCACAUUCGCCGCGUAGUGUCAUCCUCUCCUGCAGUGUCACUGUCUUGGUUUUGCCAAAGGAGGUGAUGGGACAGCUUCGACCUGGCUGGCCUUACUCCGAUGCUGGCCACCCCGGCACGGCAAGUAUGAGCCUGCCGCCUCUGCGAGGCUUAGCGACAAGUGGAGGCUUUGCCUGCCUGCUAGAGCUGAGCUCCGUCCUAAUGUGGCUCUGACUUCUACUCCGACAAGUGCAAUUAGAAGCAGCUCUGCCUGCCUUGCUUGGCUUCAGACCCCUCCGCUUACCGCCUGGGAGCGCUGAGCUGUCAGGCUGAUGUGCCCAGGAGUCCUGUCUCACAGGCUGGGAGCCCAGUCAUUUGCAUGCCAGGUGGCAGGGUUCCAUUGUGAUACAGGCAGCAGUGGCCACGGUGGUUCAGAUCCUCGGUUUUGAGAGAUUUCCCAAAUACACAGCAGGAAGUGUACCAAGGGCCACUCUGUGUCUAGUGUGUCCGUUGUACCCUGUCCCAGAGUCACCUCCCUGCUCUGUGAAUGUGGACUCCAUAAAAUUCCAGUAUUUAAAAGGCAGUUUGCUGUUGUACUUUCUGUUGUAUCACAAUCAGGUAAAGUCACUUUAAACUGAAGAAAAAACAAAUUGUGUUUUAAAGCUGUUUUUAUUUCUCCAAUUUCUGACCUUGUAAAUUUUGUAUAUAUGCACUAAUAAAACUCUUUUUAUACUUGUGCUUGGUGGUUUUUUUAGUCUUCUAAACCUGUUACUUCAAUUAUGUAGCCAGGACUUAUUUUCUGUCAGUUGG
ensembl:lncRNA